rnacentral:rRNA from 1 species
AUUGAACGCUGGCGGCAUGCCUAACACAUGCAAGUCGAACGGCAGCACAAUAAAGAUUUCGGUCUUUAUGGGUGGCGAGUGGCGGACGGGUGAGUAACGCGUAGGAAUCUGUCCUGGAGAGUGGGAUAACCCGAGGAAACUCGGGCUAAUACUGCAUGACAUUGAGAGAUAAAAAGCAGGGGACCGAAAGGCCUUGCGCUCUGGGGUGAGCCUACGUCGGAUUAGCUAGUUGGUGGGGUAAAGGCCUACCGAGGCGACGAUCCGUAGCUGGUCUGAGAGGAUGACCAGCCACACUGGGACUGAGACACGGCCCAGACUCCUACGGGAGGCAGCAGUGGGGAAUCUUGGACAAUGGGGGAAACCCUGAUCCAGCGAUGCCGCGUGUGUGAAGAAGGCCUUCGGGUUGUAAAGCACUUUAGGUGGGGAAGAAAGGUAGCGAGUGAAUAACUUUCUGCUGUGACGGUACCCACAGAAUAAGCACCGGCUAACUCUGUGCCAGCAGCCGCAGUAA